rnacentral:rRNA from 1 species
GUCUGCGGCCAUGCCACCCUGAACACGCCUAAUCCCGUCUGAUCUCGGAAGUUAAGCAGGGUUGGGCCUGGUUAGUACUAAGAUGGGAGACCACCUAGGAAUACCAGGUGCUGUAGGUG